rnacentral:rRNA from 1 species
UACGGAGGAUGCGAGCGUUAUCCGGAUUUAUUGGGUUUAAAGGGUGCGUAGGCGGGCUGUUAAGUCAGCGGUCAAAUGUCGGGGCUCAACCCCGGCCUGCCGUUGAAACUGACGGUCUUGAGUGGGCGAGAAGUAUGCGGAAUGCGCGGUGUAGCGGUGAAAUGCAUAGAUAUCGCGCAGAACUCCGAUUGCGAAGGCAGCAUGCCGGCUCCACACUGACGCUGAGGCACGAAGGCCAGGGGAGCGAAAGGG